UCCUGGUUAACCCAGGCAGUCUCAUUAGAGUGCCCAACUUAAUGCUGGCAACUAAUGAUAGGGGUUGCGCUCGUUGCGAGACUUAACCCAACAUUUCACAACACGAGCUGACGACAGCCAUGCAGCACCUGUCACUGCGUUUCCCGAAGGACACCCCUCCAUCUCUGGAGGGUUCGCAGGAUUUCAAGCCCAGGUAAGGUUCUUCGCGUUGCUUCGAAUUAAACCACAUGAUCCACCGCUUGUGCGGGCCCCCGUCAAUUCCUUUGAGUUUUAAUCUUGCGACCGUACUCCCCAGGCGGAGAACUUAAUGCGUUAGCUGCGAGACCGCAGGGGUCAAUACCCGCAAUCUCUAGUUCUCAUCGUUUACGGCGUGGACUAC
rnacentral:misc_RNA from 1 species